AACGAACGCUGGCGGCAUGCCUAACACAUGCAAGUCGAACGAGACCUCCGGGUCUAGCGUCGCACGGGUGCGUAACGCGUGGGAACCUGCCCUUAGGUUCGGAAUAACUCCCCGAAAGGGGUGCUAAUACCGGAUAAUGUCUUCCGACCAAAGAUUUAUGGCCUUUGGAUGGGCCCGCGUUGGAUUAGCUUGUUGGUAGGGUAAAAGCCUACCAAGGUGACGAUCCAUAGCUGGUCAGAGAGGAUGAUCAGCCACACUGGGACUGAGACACGGCCCAGACUCCUACGGGAGGCAGGAGUGGGGAAUAUUGGAAAGUGGGCGAAAGCCUGAUCGAGCAAGGGCGCGUGAGUGCUGAAGGCCUGGGGGUUGUAAAGCUCUUUUACCCGGGAUAAUAAUGACAGUACCGGGAGAAUAAGCACCGGCUAACUACGUG
rnacentral:rRNA from 1 species